CCUACGGGAGGCAGCAGUAGGGAAUCUUUCACAAUGGGCGAAAGCCUGAUGGAGCAACGCCGCGUGCAGGAUGAAGGCCUUCGGGUUGUAAACUGCUUUUAUAAGCGAGAAAUAUGAUGGUAACUUAUGAAUAAGGAUCGGCUAACUACGUGCCAGCAGCCGCGGUCAUACGUAGGAUCCGAGCAUUAUCCGGAGUGACUGGGUGUAAAGAGUUGCGUAGGUGGGAUAAUAAGUAGCUAGUGAAAUCUGGUGGCUCAAACAUUCAGACUAUUAGCUAAACUGUUAAGCUCGAGACCGUUAGGGGUAACUGGAAUUUCUAGUGUAGGAGUGAAAUGCGUAGAUAUUAGAAAGAACACCGAUAGCGUAGGCAGGUUACUGGGACGGUUCUGACACUAAGGCACGAAAGCGUAGGGAGCAAACGGGAUUAGAUACCCGGGUAGUC
rnacentral:rRNA from 1 species